rnacentral:rRNA from 1 species
CAGUAGCCACGGGAAUACGGAGGGCGCGAGCGUUACCCGGAUUUACUGGGCGUAAAGGGCGUGUAGGCGGCCUGGGGCGUCCCAUGUGAAAGGCCACGGCUCAACCGUGGAGGAGCGUGGGAUACGCUCAGGCUAGAGGGUGGGAGAGGGUGGUGGAAUUCCCGGAGUAGCGGUGAAAUGCGCAGAUACCGGGAGGAACGCCGAUGGCGAAGGCAGCCACCUGGUCCACUUCUGACGCUGAGGCGCGAAGGCGUGGGGGGCAAACCGGAUUAGAUACCCCGGUAGUCCCUGUCUCUUAUAC